AGUUGUUCAAAUGGUAGUUUUUUGUCAGUUUUCCUCCAAAAUCGCCUAUUUAAAAUCGUCUCUUAAAUAGGUGAUUUUAGGAGAAAACGGUCAAAAAGCUUCAUUUUGACAGAUUUC
rnacentral:pre_miRNA from 1 species